rnacentral:lncRNA from 1 species
UUUAUUCUCCGCACUCAAUUGUCACCGACCCUAAACCCUCACUGGCGACCAAAUCAGCAAGCUCACCAGCGGUCUAAAUCCAGUCAAGUAAGCUCUGUUCCUUGUUUUUACUCCUGUUGUUUUGCAUCAGUACAGAGGUUGUUAAUCUGUGGAAACUCCAUCACCGGCAACCUUGCUUAUUCGGCAUCUUCUUCUUAGAGUAUAGUGUUUCUGUUUUGGGUUUAGCAAGAUCUCUGGAAGCUAUUUCUAGUUAAUCUCGAAAGACGGUGGAACUUGUCCAUACACCAUUUCACGACUCAUGUCUUCAAAAUCUGAGGAUCACUAGCAAUAACAUUGGUAGCAAAUCUAGUCAUCCCAGGUCGUAAGAGUUCCGCACCUUUGGUAUUUUUUUCAUAUAAUCAACUGUCCA